GGGCCCGUAGCUCAACGGUAGAGCACCGCCCCUGCAAGGCGGGGGUUUCGGGUUCAAAACAAUCAAAAAAUUGUGAACAUCCCGACGGGUCCA
rnacentral:tRNA from 1 species